AGGUAAGCUACUAAGAGCGAAUGGUGGAUGCCUUGACUGGUAAAGGCGAUGAAGGACGUACUAGACUGCGAUAAGCUACGGGGAGCUGUCAAGAAGCUUUGAUCCGUAGAUUUCCGAAUGGGGCAACCCAAUGUAUAGAGAUAUACAUUACCUAUAUAGGAGCGAACGAGGGGAAUUGAAACAUCUUAGUACCCUCAGGAAAAGAAAUCAAUAGAGAUUACGUCAGUAGCGGCGAGCGAAAGCGCAAGAGGGCAAACCCAGUGCUUGCACUGGGGGUUGUAGGACUGCAAUGUGCAAGAGGUAAGUUUAGCAGAACAUUCUGGAAAGUAUAACCAUAGAGGGUGAUAGUCCCGUAUGCGAAAAACAAACCUUAGCUAGCAGUAUCCUGAGUAGGGCGGGACACGAGGAAUCCUGUCUGAAUCCGGGUCGACCACGAUCCAACCCUAAAUACUAAUACCAGAUCGAUAGUGCACAAGUACCGUGAGGGAAAGGUGAAAAGAACUGAGGUGAUCAGAGUGAAAUAGAACCUGAAACCAUUUGCUUACAAUCAUUCAGAGCCCUAUGUAGCAAUACAGGGUGAUGGACUGCCUUUUGCAUAAUGAGCCUGCGAGUUGUGGUGUCUGGCAAGGUUAAGCAAACGCGAAGCCGUAGCGAAAGCGAGUCUGAAUAGGGCGCUUAGUCAGAUGCUGCAGACCCGAAACGAAGUGAUCUAUCCAUGAGCAAGUUGAAGCUAGUGUAAGAACUAGUGGAGGACUGAACCCAUAGGCGUUGAAAAGCCCCGGGAUGACUUGUGGAUAGGGGUGAAAGGCCAAUCAAACUUCGUGAUAGCUGGUUCUCUCCGAAAUAUAUUUAGGUAUAGCGUUGUGUCGUAAUAUAAGGGGGUAGAGCACUGAAUGGGCUAGGGCAUACACCAAUGUACCAAACCCUAUCAAACUCCGAAUACCUUAUAUGUAAUCACAGCAGUCAGGCGGCGAGUGAUAAAAUCCGUCGUCAAGAGGGAAACAACCCAGACUACCAGCUAAGGUCCCUAAAUCUUACUUAAGUGGAAAACGAUGUGAAGUUACUUAAACAACCAGGAGGUUGGCUUAGAAGCAGCCAUCCUUUAAAGAAAGCGUAAUAGCUCACUGGUCUAGUGAUUUUGCGCGGAAAAUAUAACGGGGCUAAAGUAAGUACCGAAGCUGUAGACUUGCACACAACUUAGAUUAUUUAAGUUUAGAAUAUGAGAAACUAAGUUAUAUGUUUAGUUAUAUUUUUACUGAUUUUUAUAGAGUAAAGAUAGAAAUAAAACUUAGUAAAAUCAGUAAAAAUAUUCUUAGACUAAAGUUAAGUAGUUUAAGUUGUGUGCAAGUGGUAGGAGAGCGUUCUAUUUGCGUCGAAGGUAUACCGGUAAGGAGUGCUGGAGCGAAUAGAAGUGAGCAUGCAGGCAUGAGUAGCGAUAAUUAAUGUGAGAAUCAUUAACGCCGUAAACCCAAGGUUUCCUACGCGAUGCUCGUCAUCGUAGGGUUAGUCGGGUCCUAAGUCGAGUCCGAAAGGGGUAGACGAUGGCAAAUUGGUUAAUAUUCCAAUACCAACAUUAGUGUGCGAUGGAAGGACGCUUAGGGCUAAGGGGGCUAGCGGAUGGAAGUGCUAGUCUAAGGUCGUAGGAGGUUGUACAGGCAAAUCCGUAUAACAAUACUCCGAGAACUGAAAGGCUUUUUGAAGUCUUCGGAUGGAUAGAAGAACCCCUGAUGCCGUCGAGCCAAGAAAAGUUUCUAAGUUUAGCUAAUGUUGCCCGUACCGUAAACCGACACAGGUGGGUGGGAUGAGUAUUCUAAGGCGCGUGGAAGAACUCUCUUUAAGGAACUCUGCAAAAUAGCACCGUAUCUUCGGUAUAAGGUGUGGUUAGCUUUGUAUUAGGAUUUACUCCGAAAGCAAGGAAACUUACAACAAAGAGUCCCUCCCGACUGUUUACCAAAAACACAGCACUCUGCUAACUCGUAAGAGGAUGUAUAGGGUGUGACGCCUGCCCGGUGCUCGAAGGUUAAUUGAUGGGGUUAGCAUUAGCGAAGCUCUUGAUCGAAGCCCGAGUAAACGGCGGCCGUAACUAUAACGGUCCUAAGGUAGCGAAAUUCCUUGUCGGUUAAAUACCGACCUGCAUGAAUGGCGUAACGAGAUGGGAGCUGUCUCAAAGAGGGAUCCAGUGAAAUUGUAGUGGAGGUGAAAAUUCCUCCUACCCGCGGCAAGACGGAAAGACCCCGUGGACCUUUACUACAGCUUGACACUGCUACUUGGAUAAGAAUGUGCAGGAUAGGUGGGAGGCUUUGAGUAUAUGACGCCAGUUGUAUAUGAGCCAUUGUUGAGAUACCACUCUUUCUUAUUUGGGUAGCUAACCAGCUUGAGUUAUCCUCAAGUGGGACAAUGUCUGGUGGGUAGUUUGACUGGGGCGGUCGCCUCCCAAAUAAUAACGGAGGCUUACAAAGGUUGGCUCAGAACGGUUGGAAAUCGUUCGUAGAGUAUAAAGGUAUAAGCCAGCUUAACUGCAAGACAUACAAGUCAAGCAGAGACGAAAGUCGGUCUUAGUGAUCCGGUGGUUCUGUGUGGAAGGGCCAUCGCUCAAAGGAUAAAAGGUACCCCGGGGAUAACAGGCUGAUCUCCCCCAAGAGCUCACAUCGACGGGGAGGUUUGGCACCUCGAUGUCGGCUCAUCGCAUCCUGGGGCUGGAGCAGGUCCCAAGGGUAUGGCUGUUCGCCAUUUAAAGCGGUACGCGAGCUGGGUUCAGAACGUCGUGAGACAGUUCGGUCCCUAUCUGCCGUGGGCGUAAGAAGAUUGAAGAGAUUUGACCCUAGUACGAGAGGACCGGGUUGAACAAACCACUGGUGUAGCUGUUGUUCUGCCAAGAGC
rnacentral:rRNA from 1 species